AGAAUCAACGCUGGCGGCGUGCCUAACACAUGCAAGUCGAACGAGAAAGUGGAGCAAUCCAUGAGUAAAGUGGCGACCGGGUGAGUAACACGUGACUAACCUACCUUCGAGUGGGGGAUAACAUCGGGAAACCGAUGCUAAUACCGCAUAACAUCGCAAGAUCAAAGCAGCAAUGCGCUGGAAGAGGGGGUCGCGGCUGAUUAGCUAGUUGGCGGGGUAACGGCCCACCAAGGCGAAGAUCGGUAGCCGGCCUGAGAGGGCGCACGGCCACACUGGAACUGAAACACGGUCCAGACUCCUACGGGAGGCAGCAGUGGGGAAUUUUGCGCAAUGGGGGAAACCCUGACGCAGCAACGCCGCGUGGAGGAUGAAGCCCUUGGGGCGUAACUCCUUCGACCAAGACGAUAAUGACGGUACGUGGUGGAAGAAGCACCGGCUAACUCUGCGCCAGCAGCCGC
rnacentral:rRNA from 1 species